AUGCUGACAAAAGUUGGCUUUGUGCAGUGUUUCUAUGAGGCAAUGAGGCCAAGCGUUUUUAUUCCCAAGGAUGAAAUGGAAAUGAUGGAGUCAAUAAGAUGGGCCUCAUUGUUUGGGGAGGUCUCUCCAAGUUUCUGCUCUUUGUGUUUACAACAUCAACUGAAGUCAUAUUUUAAGCGUGAAGGUGGUGGAAAACUGGACAGUCUCUGUGUUCUGACCUACAGAGAAGGACGUGAACUUGAGAGCCAUUCUUCUACGUUUGCUUUUCUCCUGGGCUAG
rnacentral:lncRNA from 1 species